UACGUAGGCAGCGAGCGUUGUUCGGAAUUACUGGGCGUAAAGAGUGUGUAGGCGGUGCUCUAAGUUCGGUGUGAAAUCUCCUGCUCAACUGGGAGGGUGCGCCGGAAACUGGAGUGCUUGAGCGUGGGAGAGGAAAGCGGAAUUCCUGGUGUAGCGGUGAAAUGCGUAGAUAUCAGGAGGAACACCUGUGGUGUAGACGGCUUUCUGGACCAUAGCUGACGCUGAGACACGAAAAGCGUGGGUAGCAAACAGG
rnacentral:rRNA from 1 species